UGAGGAAUAUUGGUCAAUGGCCGAGAGGCUGAACCAGCCAAGUAGCGUGGAGGAUGACUGCCCUACGGGUUGUAAACUCCUUUUAUAAGGGGGUAAAGGCAUCUACGUGUAGAUGUUUGCAAGUACCUUAUGAAUAAGCAUCGGCUAACUCCGUGCCAGCAGCCGCGGUAAUACGGAGGAUGCGAGCGUUAUCCGGAUUUAUUGGGUUUAAAGGGAGCGUAGACGGGAUGUCAAGUCAGCUGUGAAAGUCUGCGGCUUAACCGUAGAACUGCAGUUGAAACUGGCGUUCUUGAGUGCGUUCGAGGCAGGCGGAAUUCGUGGUGUAGCGGUGAAAUGCAUAGAUAUCACGAAGAACCCCGAUUGCGAAGGCAGCCUGCCAGGCCGCUACUGACGUUGAAGCUCGAAAGUGCGGGUAUCAAACAGG
rnacentral:rRNA from 1 species